AACGCACGAGACCUGCGGACCUGCGGAAGGAUCAUUACCGAGUUUACAACUCCCAAACCCAAUGUGAACGUUACCAAACUGUUGCCUCGGCGGGAUCUCUGCCCCGGGUGCGUCGCAGCCCCGGACCAAGGCGCCCGCCGGAGGACCAACCAAAACUCUUUUGUAUACCCCCCUCGCGGGUUUUUAUAUCUGAGCCAUCUCGGCGCCUCUCGUAGGCGUUUCGAAAAUGAAUCAAAACUU
rnacentral:misc_RNA from 1 species